UUUAUAUUUAUUUAUUUAUUUAUUGAUUAUAUAUAUAUAUAUAUAAAUAUUAAAAAUAGUUAUAAAAUUUUAAUUUUUAGUAUUAAUUAUAGAAAAAAUAAAAUUAAUUAUAGUUUAUUAGUAUUGAAAAAGAAAUUUGAAAUAUUAUGAAAAAUAAUAAUUAAAAAAGAAAAAUUUAUUUUUUGUACCUUGUGUAUCAGGGUUUAUUAAAUAAUAUUUAAAAAUUUAAAUUUCUCGAUUUUAAAAGAUUUAAUAUAUUAAUAAAUAUAAAGUAAAAAAUUUAUUUUUAAUAAUAUAUUUGAAAUGAAAUGUUUUUCGUUUUUAAAGGUAUCUAGUUUUUUAAGAAAUAAAUUUAAUUUAUAAAUUUUAUAUUAUUUAUUUGAUUAAGAAAAUAAGUAAUUAUUUAAUUUUAAUAUUUUAUGGGAUAAGCUAUAAAAUAAAAAUUUAAAAAUAAUAAUAAGUUUAAUAAAAUAUAGGGUUAAAAUUAUUCAAUAUUAAAAAAAAUGUAAUAAUUUAUUAUUAUAAAAUAAUAAUUUUAUAAAUUUUAAUUAUUUAUUAAUAUAUAAUUUUUAAUUAUAAUAAAUUAGAAAUAAUGAUAGAAUUAGUAUAAUAAUUUAUAUAAAUAAUAAUAAAUUUUAAUUUUUUUUAAAGAAUUCAGCAAAUAUUAAUAUUCACCUGUUUAACAAAAACAUCUCUUUAUGAUUGAAUAUAAAGUUUAACCUGCCCACUGAAAUUUUAAAUGGCUGCAGUAUAUUGACUGUACAAAGGUAGCAUAAUCAUUAGUUUUUUAAUUGAGAACUGGAAUGAAUGGUUGGAUGAAAUAUUAACUGUUUCAAAAAAAAUUUAUUAGAAUUUUAUUUUUUAGUAAAAAAGCUAAAAUUUUUUUAAAAGACGAGAAGACCCUAUAAAUCUUAUAUAUAAUAUUAUAAAUAUAAAUUAAUUAGAAGAUUUUAAUUUAUUUAUUUUUUAUAUUUUAUUGGGGAGAUAAUAAAAUUUAAUAAACUUUUAUUUUAUAGAUUCAUUGAUUUAUGAAUUAUUGAUUAAUUAUUAAUGAAUAAAAAAAUAAGUUACUUUAGGGAUAACAGCGUAAUUAUUUUGGAGAGUUCAUAUUGAUAAAAUAGA
rnacentral:rRNA from 1 species